rnacentral:lncRNA from 1 species
AUGCAUAUUCAUGGCCUUAAAGUAGAGUGCUUAGAGUACAAAGGCCAAGAAAAAACAUCCUUAAAAAACAUUCUUCACCCAAUCACCCUCCACCCCCACAUAUUUUCUGUUGUAAAUACAAAACAUGUAUCUACAAAAAAGUGCACUAUUUCUAAAAAUGCAGGUACAGAGUUUUCCUUUGGUAGGGGCAAAAGCUAUUUAGUCCUUCUAUCAGCUUUCUCCUAUCAGCUUCUUAAUUCCCCAAAUCUGUCUAUAUUGUUCCUCAGGCUGCAUAUGAGAGAGAAGCUCGCAUUUUGGCUGCAAUUUUUGUGGUUAAUUUUUCAAGUUUCCUGGGAAGGUGUGUUCAACCAUUUUUUCAGAUGGGAAAAUUUAACUUUUCAUUUUUACUUUGUGUGACCCCUGUAGAAUAGCACUGUUAGCAUGGGAAUGUGGGAAAUGGGUAUUCCCACUAAACUUUCCCAUUGAGUGAUUUAGCACAUGAAUACGAUUUUUUGAUGAUUUCAUAGUGGCAGCAGAUACAUUUAGACAAAAAACAAGCUCUACAUCAAGCAUCUACCCUCUGGAGCAAAAGGACAGCUUCUUCAAAGUAUAAUAACCAAUAUAUGGAUUCUUCUAAUAUAGCUUCUAUAAAUACCAACCAAGAGACCUGUAACUGAAGGCUGGGGGUAUGAUAGAGAUUUUCUCCAGGACAAUGAAAUUUAGAGGGCACUUGUUCAUAAUCUAGAAAUAACUUAGUUUAGCACCUAAUUAAUAAGAUUAAUUAGUUAAAAUAGGAAGCUAAUAGAUGGUAAGCUUCCUUCCUAUGGCCACAGAACCCCAGCCUGCCCCUGCCUUCCUUUCCCUCCCACCUCCAGCCUUCUCAGAAGCUCCUCCGUGGUGUCUUUGGGUCCCUUUUCACUCCUAACGGGUUUCAGCUUUAAAAGUUGGUCUGAGGGCAUGUCCCAUGCUGCUGCUUGCUUCGGGCAGUGAAAAUGAUAAUUACACCUCUGACAACAAGUGAAACUGAAAUAGCUAAAGUACUUACAUAUUACUUCUAGGAUUCACAAAUGUCACAAUGAUGUCAUUUAUGACAAACACUCAGAAUAAAGGUAAUAGGGAUGCCGUAGGGAUGGAAUAU